GUAUCAUCCGUUCAUUUCUUCCAUCUUCCAUCUUCACUUCCGUCCAUUCUUCAACUCGGUUUGUGCAUUUAUUUUUACUGCAAAUGAGCUCGGUUCCUGUCGUGCUUGGUUUUGUUGCUGUGCAUUUUUUCAACUGCAAACGAGGUUUUGAUCCGCUGUUACCCUUUGUUCUGUGAGAUUCUCGCCAACUAAUAGGUGUUGAUGCUCUUUUUGUUCGACAAAUGGUUCUUUUUGAUGGCAAAUGGGUGGAUGAUUCUAAUGUGAUUGUGGGGAUACUCAAGGAAAAGUACCCAAAACCCUCUCUCAUCACUCUUCCUGAAUUUGCCUCCGUAUUCUUCGAUUGCAAGAGUGUCUAAGCAAAUAUGAGGGAACUGAUGAUCGGAGCACACCACAGGGAUCCGAAGUUAGGUUUUUUUUAUCAUGCAUAUAAAAAAGGUGUCUCAGAGAAUUCAAUAGAAAGUUGGAUUUGGUUUACCCCCUUAUUGUUCCUUCUCCCCAGUACUCAAGUCUCCAUAUACAGGCGCUUCAAUAAGCCCUUUUUUGUUGUGGUUUUUGUUACUUUUGAUCUGUGAUUUGCAAUUUUUCUUGGGUUAUAAACUUAUAAUUGUGUGUUGUUUUGAUGGUGUUAACUUGCAGGUGGAAUUGCAUGGCUAGAUGGCUUGGCUGCUUUGGUCUGGCCUUAAAACUAUUGCUUAAUUCAAAGGGUCUAGGAAUUCGUCCUGGAGUUAUGGAUGGGGCCAUCAAUAUAUCUGCUGUUCAGGAGUGAUAACAGCUAGAAGUGAUACAGAUUGAUAAAUUGAGGUAUCAAGAUGUCUUAUUCCGCAAAGGCAGAUACUGCAGACUCAGAUUGCUGGGAAUUGAGAAGUGUUAAAUUGUAAUUGAAUCUCUGACCUAAUGUAAAGGAUAUGAUGCAUGUUGCAAACAAAUGCCUCGUGUUUAGUGUUGUUGUUGCAUGUUCCUCUUGAAAAAUAAGACUGCCAAAAGAUGAUAUUGAAUCCAGGAAAAGUAAAAUGGGCAUACAAAAAUUAA